AGGAUCUCUUUCAGGAGAACCCUCCUUUGCGGAGUUGUUUCAUGAGCCUUGGACUUUGGAUGUGUGUGUGCACUUUUCUUUUUGCGACAGUUUCUCAUUGUGCCUGUCUCAUGGCAGUUAUGAAGAUGAAAUCUGAAGCCUUGCUCUUUACUUAUGAACCUACGAACCACUGAGAAAGACUAAAUCAGUUCCUACAAGUUUAUUGGCACUAAUUGGCAUCCUCCCACCAUGUGGGAAUGCGAGAAAACGCCCAUAUUACAAAAGUGCGACAUCUCUGCCUGUGGUCCAGUUUCAAGCAUGUAUUGCCUCUUUGAGGAGGUAAAUAACAUCAGCAGCAAAGGAACAAGGCCCAAGAGCAGAAAUAGAAGGCACAUCCUUGGCUAUUUUUUGCGCAGGACCCAGCUCCUCCGCACUCCAUCUCCCACCUUCAGGACCAGGAGCAACACCACAAAGAAGCCAUCACCACACAGGAGCCACUCCAGG